rnacentral:tRNA from 1 species
GAGCCUAGUGGACAUGGCAUCUUCCCGGUAAGCGGAACACUAUGGGUUCGAUUCCCAUCA